AUGACGAGCUCCGCCUCCUCCUCCCCUUCCCGCAAGAUCGAGGUGUCCGGGGCGGAGGGGACGCUCUACGCCGGCGAGACGUACCGGCUGCAGGUUGACUUCCCGGAGCAGUACCCCAUGGAGGCUCCACAGGUUAUAUUUAUGCAUCCGGCGCCGAUGCAUCCGCACAUUUACAGCAAUGGGCACAUCUGUCUAGAUAUAUUGUACGACUCGUGGUCACCAGCAAUGACGGUCAGUUCCGUGUGCAUCAGCAUCUUGUCCAUGUUGUCAAGUUCACCAGCGAAGGAACGCCCAUCCGAUAACGAUCGCUAUGUCAGGAACUGCCGCAACGGGAGGUCUCCGAAGGAGACGAGGUGGUGGUUUCAUGAUGACAAAGUGUGA
rnacentral:rRNA from 1 species